CUGUUGGAAGAGAGAUGACAUUCCCAUUCAUAUCCUUUUAACUGUUAGUGAUUCUAUUUGUAUCAAGCUUAAUAAUGUUUUUCUGCUCUUGUUUAACCUCUCUAGUGGACUGAAAACUUAUCAUCAAUUCCGCGUUUCUCUAUGAUAUGAAAAACAGUGUUUGAUCAAUUUACCUUCUCUUUGAUAAGAUGUGCAAAAUAGAUGCUCUGCAUGCAGUAAAAGCAGAACUAUCAAAAUCCACCCAGAGAAAUCCC
rnacentral:lncRNA from 1 species